GCCCAAGUGGUGGAUUGGUAGACACGCUAUCUUGAGGGGGUAGUGGCGAAAGCUGUGCCGGUUCGAGUCCGGCCUUGGGCACCA
rnacentral:tRNA from 1 species